AAGACUAUAGACCUGCGGAGUACCUGCGGAAGGAUCAUUACAGAGUUAUCAAACUCCUAAACCCUUUGUUAAUUUACCUAUUUGUUUCUUCGGCAGGUGGUCCCUGGGAGGGUCCUGCAGCCUGUUAAGGUACCUGCCGAAGGUCAUAACUCGGUUUUACAUUAUGUGUCUAAGUCUUACUAUAAAAUAAGUCAAAACUUUCAACAAUGGAUCUCU
rnacentral:misc_RNA from 1 species